CCUACGGGAGGCAGCAGUGAGGAAUAUUGGUCAAUGGUCGGGAGACUGAACCAGCCAAGCCGCGUGAGGGAGGAAGGUACAGAGUAUCGUAAACCUCUUUUGUCAGGGAACAAAGACUGGGACGCGUCCCCGGAUGAGUGUACCUGAAGAAAAAGCAUCGGCUAACUCCGUGCCAGCAGCCGCGGUAAUACGGAGGAUGCGAGCGUUAUCCGGAUUUAUUGGGUUUAAAGGGUGCGCAGGCGGUCUGUUAAGUCAGCGGUCAAAGCCCGGGGCUCAACCCCGGCCCGCCGUUGAAACUGGCAGUCUCGAGUUGGAGAGAAGUAUGCGGAAUGCGCGGUGUAGCGGUGAAAUGCAUAGAUAUCGCGCAGAACUCCGAUUGCGAAGGCAGCAUACCGGCGCCCAACUGACGCUGAAGCACGAAAGCGUGGGUAUCAAACAGGAUUAGAUACCCGGGUAGUC
rnacentral:rRNA from 1 species